AUAAUAGGGAGAUAAAUGGUAUAUAUUUAUUAUAGUAAAGAGAAAAUUGACAAUCUCCCAACACUCUCAUGGCUGUCAAAGCGAAUCGGAGUUCGAAGCAUCAUAGAAUGAUAUGAUCAGGAAAUGCACUUAUAUAAGAUGGAAGAGGAUUAUCGUCGUAAGAAUGGAGCAUCUCAUAUGAAUAUAAACACUUGAAUUUUAAGGCAUGCGUAUUCAGUUUACAGUAUCAAAAUGUUUCAUUUAUCUCAAACAGAGUUAUUGGGUUGUAUUGACAUUGGCGGAGCCAAUAUAGGACCAGUUGGGGCACGGCCCAGUUAGCUUUAGAAAAUGUUGAAAAGUAAUUUUAAAUCAGGGCAUAAUUAUUCGGACUUUAUGAUAGUGCCCCAACUCAAUAUUAAAAUUGCCUAGGUAAUUUGGAAGAGUUUCAAAUUUAACCUUGGUU
rnacentral:lncRNA from 1 species